GAUGAAGACGUAGCGAAAUGCGAUACGUAAUGUGAAUUGCAGAAUUCAGUGAAUCAUCGAAUCUUUGAACGCACAUUGCGCCCGCCAGCAUUCUGGCGGGCAUGCCUGUUCGAGCGUCAUUUCAACCCUCGACUUCCCUUUGGGGAAGUCGGCGUUGGGGACCGGCCGUAUACCGCCGGCCCCGAAAUGAAGUGGCGGCCCGUCCGCGGCGACCUCUGCGUAGUAAUCCAACUCGCACCGGAACCCCGACGUGGCCACGCCGUAAAACCCCCGACUUCUGAACGUUGACCUCGGAUCAGGUAGGAAUACCCGCUGAACUUAAGCAUAUCAAUAAGCGGAGGA
rnacentral:misc_RNA from 1 species